GGAUAAUGGUGAAACUGGAGAUGAUCCGUACAGAGUUCAAGACUGUUCUGAACCAAGUUAUAGAGGCCCGGCAGCCAAAGGAGUCGGAAUCCUUGGGGCAACUUGAAAUGCUGCAAAACCCUGCAGAAACAAAUGAGGAACUGAAGGAUAUCUGUGAAACACUUAGAGACUCCCACUAUCGAAAGAAAAUGGAGCGUCCCUGAAAGCACACCCCAAGGCUACCUACCAAGAAGUAGAUGACAAAAUAGCAGACGCUCUCAAACAUGCACCAGCUCGGCUCAAGAGUAAGAGAAAGGAGCGGGUCGAGGAAGCGACAGUGGAUGAGGAUGGAGCAGCAGCAACUGAAUAAACAUAACAUAGUUUUUCACUUUUAGCUUUAAGCAGUUUUACAGUUCUUGAUUGGAGUGCAGUGUUCAUGUUUUUACUGACUUGUUAUUUUGUGAGCUUAUUGCUGUGAUUUUGUUUACGAAUCUAUUGUGAUACAGUUUAAGUAAAAAAAAAA
rnacentral:lncRNA from 1 species